GGCCAGACUCCUACGGGAGGCAGCAGUGGGGAAUAUUGCACAAUGGGGGGAACCCUGAUGCAGCGACGCCGCGUGGGCGAGGAGGUAUUUCGGUAUGUAAAGCCCUAUCGGCAGGGAAGAAGGAGGACGGUACCUGACUAAGAAGCCCCGGCUAACUACGUGCCAGCAGCCGCGGGAAUACGUAGGGGGCAAGCGUUAUCCGGAUUUACUGGGUGUAAAGGGGGCGCAGACGGCAGCGCAAGCCAGGAGUGAAAGCCCGGGGCCCAACCCCGGGACUGCUCUUGGAACUGCGCGGCUGGAGUGCAGGAGGGGCAGGCGGAAUUCCCGGUGUAGCGGUGGAAUGCGUAGAUAUCGGGAGGAACACCAGUGGCGAAGGCGGCCUGCUGGACAUUAACUGACGCUGAGGCGCGAAAGCGUGGGGAGCAAACAGGAUUAGAUACCCUCGUAC
rnacentral:rRNA from 1 species